rnacentral:misc_RNA from 1 species
CGCACAUUGCGCCCUUUGGCAUUCCGAAGGGCAUGCCCGUUCGAGCGUCAUUUCACCAAUCAAGCCUGGCUUGGUGUUGGGCCCCGGGGAGACCCGGACCCCAAAGUUCGCCGGCCGGACGACCCGGACCUCAUCGUUGUGGCUUCAAAACCCGGUGAGAGGAAGGGGCGCCCGCGCCGUCACAACAAUCAUUUUGAAAGGUUGACCUCGGAUCGGGUAGGGAUACCCGCUGAACUUAA